GGCCCGCCCUCCGCAGGAGGGACCUGGGCGCCGGGAGCGCGAGGGAGGCCGCGCUGACUAGUACAAGUCGGUGCAGCGCCGGCCUCACCUGGCCGCGAGUUUGAUUUCAGGGUGUGGCUCCAGAUGCUCCAGCUGCCUCCUUCCAGGCCCUGGAGGUGCUGCGGGCCCACCCACACCCCCUUGGAGAGCCCCGGCUGGAGUCCUGCCACCUUGGCCUGUCCGUCUGGCUGGACGAGGCCCUAAGACGGUCUUGGGCAGGAAAGCUGGAAUGAACGAGAUUCCAGUUUCCUUGUCAGACCCUGCUCAGUUCCGAGAACCCUCUGGUUUCAGGGAAGUGAGAAGACCCUUGCUGUCCUAGACUCUGCCCCCAGGAAGGCCUGUGUCCAAUUGGGUGUUGAGAGGAUUCUGGCUCAGAGAUUCAGCACAUCUGCACUCCAAAUGGCCCCCAGGCAGAGGCUGGGUGGCUGCAGUCCCAGCAAGCGGACCCAGGACUGCAGAGAUUUCUGUCACUGUUGGGCACUUCAAACUUCAGUUGUUAACUGAGGUCACUACUGUUAUGUGUCAUUUUUGUUCAUUGAUCCUUUAGAUAUAUCAAUGCAAUUUAUGGAUACCGCGUUUGCAUAUGGGCUCUAUUGCUUAUGCACAGUUUACUCUAGACUCCUGCCAAACACAGCUAAGGUGGUGAGUGGGAAUUCGCCCGCCCCAAACAGGCCUGCACCCUGUCUGGCUGCACCACAAGCCCCAGUGCCCUCAGCCUCUGUGGGGAAGCGUGGCGGUGCCCGCUGGAGAUGUUGGCCUGUGAGCGGGAGCCUGGUGUGGAAGCUGGGGCAGCUGCAGGCAGGUCUCUGCUCCUCU